CACGUUCCCGUACGAUCACCGAAGUUAAACAACGUCGGGCCUGGUCAGUAUCUAGAUGGGUGACUGCUUGCUAAUAACAAGUGCAGUAA